rnacentral:lncRNA from 1 species
AACACAAUGUAUGUAUUUUUUACAUUACUAAUCAUUUUAAUCAACAAUAAUAAAUGUUUGACUGGACACAAUGUGCUCAAUGUGAUUCACUGUUUUGUUUUGCAGAUAAAAGGUUUAAUCCUUGGAGGACAUCAAUCAUCUUGAUUUCAGCUGUUGUUUUACUCAUUGUGAUUGCUGGAAUGCUGAUAGCAGCAUUUUUAAAAAAAAACAGAAAACUUGAUCAACUAGAGAAGGAGAAGAGCGCAAAAAAACAAGGUGAAUUUAACCUUUAUUAGGUUAUUAUUUCACUAUGAAAGGGGUCAUGAACUGAGAAACCAAAAUUCCCUCGAUCUUUUGACAUAUAAGAGGUCAUUGUACUAUAAAAACAUCCUGUAAAUUUCAAAACUCUCUCAUUAGUCUAAAAACAGUUUAUAUUAAAUUCCAGUCUGCUAAAUGGAAUGAUUAUGGAAUGUACAACUCUAAUGAUGUAAUAGUGUGGCUAAACACCACAGAAGAUCAAUGCCUACUUCUACAUCACUGCCUGUUUAGCCCCAUCCACCGAUUUGCGCAUGUAGUGUGAAUAACAAUAUAGAGGCAAAUGCAGGUCUAUACAGAAAACAAACUGUAAAAAUGGCCUCAAAACAACAAGAUGCUGUGCAGUGCCAAACUGUGUAAAAACACUUGACACUAAAACACUAAGACAUGAUUUGAUAUAGGAUUUUCAGAAAGAUUGUAACUGAAAGACGAAGCCAUGCUGACUAUAUUGGAUCCGACAGUAAUGUCACAACACACAAGUGUGAGUAACUCGUUUUAUUGUGCUCACUAUUACUUUGUUAAACAGAUAGUUUGAGAUGUGAUUAGUUAUGUGUUUUAACCUAAAUCACUGUAUUUUCUGUGAAGGCCACAGAGCCAAUCGUAGCAGUGGGUGUUUACUUCCGAGUCUACAAUCUGCCACACCUAUUCCAACAGAGCAUUCAUAAUUUAUUUUUAAAUUACGUUGUAUUUUGAUAUAAAAUCUUGAUAACAUUAUAAGAGAAUAGUACAAAAUAAAAAACAGUGGCAGUUCAUGACCCCUUUCAUUCAAAUGUUUAUGCCAUUUGUCUUUUGUUUUGUUAAGUUUUGUUAUUCAUUUAAAGUCUCUUUUUAUCCACGAAAUAGUUAAUGAACAUACACUGUGUAUUCUUACGUUUUGUCAUAUGAGGGAAAGUGUGCAUACUGUAUAAGGCCACCAUUUCUGGUAACCAGAAAGUUUUUUUUUCCUAUCAUUUUUCAUACUUGUUUAUAUAUUUGUAGUUAUUAUUAUGAAAUAAUUAGUAAUCUAGUUCUCUGAAUGUUCUUCAGAACACAAUGAAGUUUAUCAAUUAAUUAAUUAAGUCUACUUUGAAAGUGAAAGUGUUGAAAGUGACACGGAAUUUGUGCUAUGCUUUAAACCCAUCCAAACACACGCACACACAGUAGUGAACACACACCCGUAGCAAUGGGCAUCUAAUGCUACGGCACCCAGGAAGCAGUUGGGGGUUUGCUUAAGGGUAUCACCUCAGUCGUGAUAUUGAGUGUAGAAGAGAGUGCUGUACAUUUAUUCCCCCCACUGACAAUCCCUGCCGUUACUGAGACUCUAACCCGUGACCUUCGGGUUACAAGACCGAAUCUCUAAACAAUAGGCCAUGACUGCCCCCUUUUGAUAUGCAAAAAAAUAAUACACUGUGUAGUCAUAUGUAAAUAAAAUGAGGCAUACUUGACUUUAUGGCAGUUCUCUCUCUCUCUCUCUCUCUCUCACACACACACACACACACACACAUGAUGGCAUCUGUUUAAUGUUGUUUGUUCUUGCCUUUAUUCUCAAUUUUCUUCAGAACAUGCUCAACCUUUACAAAAUGAGAACAGGGAAAGAAAACAAGAUCAGGACUAUGCAUUUAUAGCCUAAAUAAAAAGGAUAAAUAAUAAAUAGCAUGCUUAUAUUGUAUGCGUGUAUAUUUUAACUAUUUAAUUCAGUUACCAGAUGUUAAUGCAUCAUAUAAACACAUCUAAAUGAUCGUACUUUAUAUUUAAAAUAUGCAGUUGUUGUUUUUCAGUGAUAUCAAAAGUAAUGUCAUCAAUGUUCUUUUUUUGUUUGUCUUUAUUCUGAACUAGAACAUGAUCAACAUUUAAGGUCACACGGUGAGUACACAAAAUGAUAAAUUUGUUUUAUACGCCUUUAUUAAAUUAUUAAUAUAUUAAUAAAAUUCAUUGCAGUUUAUCAUAAGAUAAGCAAUCUAUUUAAAGUCCUGUUGGUUUCACUGGUCUUCAAGUGGUGACUAAUAUUAUUUAUCUUAUUCAUAUUGAUUAAUUCUGUUAUGGACCCUUUAUAAUUUCAUACUUUCUUUCUGUUUUUAGCGGAUAUCACCAUUAAAAUAAGAAGAUAAAAAAAGACCGGUGUUUUUUACAAUAAGGUGGAGGUGAAGGAG